UCGAUUUGGAGUUUGUUGCCCUGAGUGAUGGGCUCCGAAGCUAACGCGAUAAAUCGACCGCCUGGGGAGUACGGCCGCAAGGUUAAAACUCAAAUGAAUUGACGGGGGCCCGCACAAGCGGUGGAGCAUGUGGUUUAAUUCGAUGCAACGCGAAGAACCUUACCUGGUCUUGACAUCCACAGAAUCUUGCAGAGAUGCGAGAGUGCCUUCGGGAACUGUGAGACAGGUGCUGCAUGGCUGUCGUCAGCUCGUGUUGUGAAAUGUUGGGUUAAGUCCCGCAACGAGCGCAACCCUUAUCCUUUGUUGCCAGCGAUUUGGUCGGGAACUCAAAGGAGACUGCCGUUGAUAAAGCGGAGGAAGGUGGGGACGACGUCAAGUCAUCAUGGCCCUUACGACCAGGGCUACACACGUGCUACAAUGGCGUAUACAAAGGGAGGCGACCUCGCGAGAGCAAGCGGACCUCAUAAAGUACGUCUAAGUCCGGAUUGGAGUCUGCAACUCGACUCCAUGAAGUCGGAAUCGCUAGUAAUCGUGAAUCAGAAUGUCACGGUGAAUACGUUCCCGGGCCU
rnacentral:rRNA from 2 species